rnacentral:lncRNA from 1 species
GCUCAGUAUUUUUGUGAUUUUACUUUUUUUUUAUCAAAGAAAUGCUGUCAAAUAUUUGUGUUAUAUCUGCAAAAAAUUGCCAAUGUAGUUCUUUGGACGCAUUUCAUUUUUGAAACAUAUACCAAUCUAAAUGAAGAUGUAUGUAUUUGCCUAAAACAUAUUUUUUUCUUUUGUAGCUAAAAGUUGGCAUCAUGCUCAUUUGCCGACAAUGCCAACCACCGAAUUUAAAAAUGCACCACAAC